rnacentral:rRNA from 1 species
AAAUAGAUACCCAGGUAGUCCACGCCGUAAACGAUGAGUGCUAAGUGUUAGAGGGUUUCCGCCCUUUAGUGCUGCAGCAAACGCAUUAAGCACUCCGCCUGGGGAGUACGGCCGCAAGGCUGAAACUCAAAGGAAUUGACGGGGGCCCGCACAAGCGGUGGAGCAUGUGGUUUAAUUCGAAGCAACGCGAAGAACCUUACCAGGUCUUGACAUCCCCUGACAACCCUAGAGAUAGGGUGUUCCCCUUCGGGGGACAGGGUGACAGGUGGUGCAUGGUUGUCGUCAGCUCGUGUCGUGAGAUGUUGGGUUAAGUCCCGCAACGAGCGCAACCCUUGAUCUUAGUUGCCAGCAUUCAGUUGGGCACUCUAAGGUGACUGCCGGUGACAAACCGGAGGAAGGUGGGGAUGACGUCAAAUCAUCAUGCCCCUUAUGACCUGGGCUACACACGUGCUACAAUGGAUGGUACAAAGGGCUGCAAGACCGCGAGGUUAAGCGAAUCCCGAUAAAACCAUUCUCAGUUCGGAUUGCAGGCUGCAAC